rnacentral:rRNA from 1 species
CAGUCGCCGCGGGAAUACGUAGGGUGCAAGCGUUAAUUGGAAUUACUGGGCGUAAAGCGUGCGCAGGCGGUUCGGAAAGAAAGAUGUGAAAUCCCAGGGCUUAACCUUGGAACUGCAUUUUUAACUCCCGGACUAGAGUAUGUCAGAGGGGGGUGGAAUUCCACGUGUAGCAGUGAAAUGCGUAGAUAUGUGGAGGAACACCGAUGGCGAAGGCAGCCCCCUGGGAUAAUACUGACGCUCAUGCACGAAAGCGUGGGGAGCAAACAGGAUUAGAUACCCGGGUAGUCCCUGUCUCUUAUAA